rnacentral:rRNA from 1 species
CACGUAGGGCGCAAGCGUUGUCCGGAAUUAUUGGGCGUAAAGAGCUCGUAGGCGGACUGUUGCGUCCGCUGUGAAAAGCUGGGGCUUAACCCUGGCCUUGCAGUGGAUACGGGCAGACUAGAGGUAGGUAGGGGAGAAUGGAAUUCCCGGUGUAGCGGUGAAAUGCGCAGAUAUCAGGAGGAACACCGGUGGCGAAGGCGGUUCUCUGGGAAUGUCCUGACGCUGAGGAGCGAAAGUGUGGGGAGCGAACAGG